rnacentral:tRNA from 1 species
GGGAUUAUGGCUUAGUGGUAGAGUGCUUGCCUAAUAUGUGUGAGGCCCCAAGUUCGAUUCUUUGGUACCA